UAGAUGAUUUCUAUGAUAGUUAGUGAUGCCACCUCAUCAAAGUGAGUUGUCCUUUGCGUGCGAGACAGUAGAUCUUGGUCUAAUUCAUCCAACAUGCAGACCAACUUAAACAAGUGGUUAACAACCUGUUAACUUUCUCUGAAGUGUGUGCAAUUAGUAGAGGUCUGUGUAAAACUGGGUUGCUUUUCUAUGGUAUUCAAAGUUCCUCCCUUUUCAGUUCAGCAGGACAAUGGCGGAGACUUUAAUCAGUAAAAGCUAUGACACAUUGUUGGGAUAAUGAUUCCUCUUGUCUUGGUUAGAUGCGCCAACGUAGUUUGGUAGUCUAACUGUCAGCCCACUUUUCCUUCAUAAAAUUGUUUCCCUCGCUAGUGCUAAAGAACUGAAAAGGCAAACACAAGCUCACAUACUGAGCAACAGUUUUCAACGCUUUGGUGGUUACAUGAUGGUGAUUGUGAAAUGUAUGCGAGGCUCCCGAAGAGGAAUGAUGUAGCACGCCCUGUAAGAAAACAGCUUGUUCCUCAUCCUAGCGGAGCAUCUUUACUUAACUCGUCCUCUUUACAUUCAAAAGAGAGGCCAACUGUCUCAAAGUCUAUCGAUCUCUAACUAGUGGUUAGUUACAACAGUAGGCAUAAUUAAGUGCGAAAGAGAUUUACUUCCAUUAAAAGUUAGCAAAAUAGAAAUCAAAUGGAUUGUCAUUUGAGUUAAUAGAGAGUAAGUAACAUAAAUUGUAAAAAAGCAGAUGAGAAUACGGCGAAAGAUCGACUUACCAUAGUUAAUUAAGAUGUAUGGGAACUUAACAAACUUAAAAUGAACGAAGAGAAAUUCAGAACCACUUCUUGAGUGAAUAUUCGGCUGAAUGUGGCUGAAGUGCUCCACGACGUUGAUUCAGUCAAUCGGCUUUCAAAACAACCGUUAUCAUCGACGUGGGGUUGAUACGAUGAAACGUGGAAGUGAAACGUCAAUUUUUCAGGUGACGUUGCAGGCCUCUCGUAACCAUCCAAGUCAAAAUAGCAUCUUAAAAGGGAAGACGAUUGAAACUUGACUUUUUCCAAGAUAUGUCACAAAAGUAUACAAAUUAUAUACACUUCUAAAUAAAAGAA
rnacentral:lncRNA from 1 species